rnacentral:rRNA from 1 species
UACGAAGGGGGGCUAGCGUUGCUCGGAAUCACUGGGCGUAAAGCGCACGUAGGCGGCUUUUUUAAGUCAGGGGUGAAAUCCUGGAGCUCAACUCCAGAACUGCCUUUGAUACUGGGAAGCUUGAGUCCGGAAGAGGUGAGUGGAACUCCGAGUGUAGAGGUGAAAUUCGUAGAUAUUCGGAAGAACACCAGUGGCGAAGGCGGCUCACUGGUCCGGUACUGACGCUGAUGCGCGAAAGCCAGGGGAGCGAACGGG